CGCUGGCGGCGCGUUUAAGCAUGCAAGUCGAGCGGCAAGGGCCUUCGGGCCCCUAGAGCGGCGGACGGGUGAGUAACACGUGGACAAUCUGCCCCCCGGCCCGGGAUAGCCCCAGGGAAACCUGGAUUAAUACCGGAUGAGACGGGACCCGCGAUGGCGGGACCCGGGAAAGGCGCUGCGGCGCCGCCGGGGGAUGAGUCUGCGUCCCAUUAGCUAGACGGCGGGGUAACGGCCCACCGUGGCGACGAUGGGUAGCCGGCCUGAGAGGGUGGACGGCCACAUUGGAACUGAGACACGGUCCAGACUCCUACGGGAGGCAGCAGCUAAGAAUCUUCCGCAAUGGGCGAAAGCCUGACGGAGCGACGCCCGCGUGAACGAAGAAGGCCGUGAGGUUGUAAAGUUCUUUUCGGGAGGGGGAACAACCGUGGCAGGGAAUGGCCGCGGGAUGACGUGAAUCCCGGAAUAAGCCCCGGCUAACUACGUGCCAGCCGCUGC
rnacentral:rRNA from 1 species